UGCUAGUCCGAGAUCGCGGUCCUAGAAGGACUGAUUUCUGGUGAGGCCUCUUUUCCGGGCUUCCAGAUGGCCCCCUCUUGCUGUGUCCCCACCUGGCUGUGGAAAGAAGGAGGAAGAAUGUUCGAGGCAGAGAGUAACUCAGAAGUGUAAUGCGGCCUGGCUGUAUGGGCACUAAAGGUGACUCCAGGUGGACAUUCCCUUGUUCCAGUACCAUCUGUGGAAUCCUUUCUCCAUUAAACUGAUUGGUGCCGUGGACCCCAUUUGCGUGGGUCUCUUUUUGGUUUGGAUUCUGUUCCAUCAAUCCGCAUCUCCAGUUUUUGAACAACUGCAUACCACCUUAUCACUGCAGCUUCCCACACGUGUCCAGAUUAGGUCGUGUGAGUCCGUCGGCCUUCUUCUUCAGUACUGUGUUGGUGUCGUAUGGCCUUUGCCCUUUCACAUAGAAUCGAUCUGUGGAUAUUUAUAAAAUCGCUUGUGGUGCUUUUGAUUGGUGCUGUGUUAAAUUUACAAAUCAAACUGAGAAUAGCCAACAUCUUGACAAUAUCAGAUCUAAUCCCAGCCAUGAAACACCUCCCCAUCUGUUAAGGUCUUCAUGUGAUGGUCUUCAUUGGCGCCUGCAGCUUUCCACGUACAGAUCCUGUACACGCUUUAAGUUAGACCUAUCAAAUUUGUGCCUGACCUUGUUUUGGUGCAACUGUAAAUUAUUUUUUUGGGCAUCAUAUUUUUAAUUGCAAAUACCAAUUGCUCAUCACUGGCAUAUGGAUUGUAUGUUAAUCUUGUACUCGUAGCCCUGUUAUAAACUGCUUAUGUGGAAGGGGUCAGGGAUGUGAUGUAGCCUUCAAUGACAUGCCCCAGUGACCUAAUUCCCCCAAGUAGGACCCACUUAGAGUUUUCACCACCUCCCAAUAAUGCCAUCGAAUCUAUCAAUGGGUUAAUCCACUGAUGAGGCAGAUCCUCACAAUCCACUCACUUCCCCAGAACCCCACUUCUGUACACUGCUGCCCUGGGGACCAAGCCUUCAACACAAGAGCCUCUGGGGACAGUCCAGAUGCAAACGUAAUAGAGUUCCUGCCACUUUGUGGCUCCAGAAGCUUCUGCCCCAGGUAAGUAGACCUCAGGUGUUCUCUCUCUCUCUCUCUCUCUCUCUCUCUCUCUCUCUCUAGAUUUCAGGAGGUGGGUUUUUCUCUGUGAUUGCAGUUCUCUGCUAGAUCCAAGAACGGUUGCUAGUUUCAGGUUUUCUUGUGGUAAGGAGAGGGAUGCCCUGCAAGCUCUUCUUGUGUCAGAGCUGACACUGGAAUUCAAUGCCUCCUCAAUAAUGGUCAUUUUACCUACUUCUCUGAUGGACAGUUGAGUGGCACAUGAGAAGCUGGCCUGGAUACCAGUCUUGACCCUUUAGGGGGCUAAUAUUUAUCUUAUAUGCUUGGGAUCAUCUAAGUGUUCCCCAUAAACCUCUCUGGAAACCCCCUCAUCCCUGCCCCCCCACAAUUGAUUCUUUCCUCUGAUUUUACAGAGUACAGACUGACAUUCAUGGAAUUCUACCCCAUAAGCAUGGGCGGACUUAGAACUAUCACUGUAAGUCAAAGUCAUGCGGAAUGCACUGAGAUGUUGAGUUAUAUUUGUGAUUACAGGUCUCUAGAUGAGAGGGAUACAGAGAGAAUUCAAAUAUAAUGGAGCCACAAAUGGGUUGGUUGAAUCAAAUCAAGGACCUGGGCAAGCUGAGAAGGAGUGGAUGGCUGCUCAGUGGCCCUGGAGCUAGUGCUGAGGGACAUGGGGCUUGGAGGAUGACAGCCCCAGCUGAAGAGCUUCGACACAGCAAGCACAGAACAGGAGGGAGUGGGUUUCCAAAACCAAAGCCAGUCAGUGACCCCAUACUGGGUUUCCCAGGCUGUGCACUGAGAAGAUGUCCCUAGAGAUGCUCUGGAAGCUGUCCCUCAAACUGUUUAAGAUGCCAAGUGUCCCAGUAGAAAAGAGUGGCAAUUUAGUACAGAGAUGUUUAGAGAAGAUCCCAAUUAUGAAUUUUCAUGCUAAGACACCUGUGAAGUUUAACCCUUUUUAAUAAUUAUAAAAUAAAUUAGCUGAUCAUACCAGAUUCCUAAUUCUAAGUUAAAUGCUUAACUGACAAUUGACUAAGACUGGUGAAACUAAACGGGACUUUUACUAAGUUUAGACUCAGUAAUGUGAUAUUUAAGAAAUGAGAAGAGGGCUGGGGAUGUGG